rnacentral:rRNA from 1 species
AUUGAACGCUGGCGGCAUGCUUUACACAUGCAAGUCGAACGGCAGCGCGGGCUUCGGCCUGGCGGCGAGUGGCGAACGGGUGAGUAAUGCAUCGGAACGUGCCCAGUAGUGGGGGAUAGCCCGGCGAAAGCCGGAUUAAUACCGCAUACGACCUGAGGGUGAAAGCGGGGGACCGAAAGGCCUCGCGCUAUUGGAGCGGCCGAUGUCGGAUUAGCUAGUUGGUGGGGUAAAGGCUUACCAAGGCGACGAUCCGUAGCUGGUCUGAGAGGACGACCAGCCACACUGGGACUGAGACACGGCCCAGACUCCUACGGGAGGCAGCAGUGGGGAAUUUUGGACAAUGGGGGCAACCCUGAUCCAGCCAUGCCGCGUGCGAGAAGAGGGCCUUCGGGUUGUAAACCGCUUUUGUUCGGGAAGAAAUCCUCUGGGCUAAUACCCCGGGGGGAUGACGGUACCGGAAGAAUAAGCACCGGCUAACUACGUG